CAUGCCCACUGAAAACUAUCCAGUACGCUAUGGCCCUCAUUUACUUAGAAAAUCGGGUUGUACACUUUAAAUAUCUUGUUAAUAGAAGGGGAUCCAACACUCAGGAUCACAACAGGAUAUACCAUGAAUAUUUGAUAGAUGUGGUCCAAGGAUCUUAAAGGGGAACUCCGCUGGAAAACAUUUUUUUUUUAAAUAAACUGG